rnacentral:ncRNA from 1 species
AGCAUAUAAUUAGGGGAGGAAAAGAAACUAACAAGGAUUUUCUUAGUAGCGGCGAGCGAAAAGAAAAUAGUUCAGUACUAACAAUAAGUCACUUUGUCUUUAUGGCAAAUGUAAGAUGCAGUGUAUGGAGCAUCAAUAUUCUAGUAUGAGAAAUUAUCGAUUUAAGUCCUUCUUAAAUGAGGCCAUUUACCCAUAGAGGGUGCCAGGCCCGUAUAACGUUAAUGAUUACUAGAUGGUGUUUCCAAAGAGUCGUGUUGCUUGAUAGUGCAGCACUAAGUGGGUGGUAAACUCCAUCUAAAACUAAAUAUAACCAUGAGACCGAUAGUAAACAAGUACCGUGAGGGAAAGUUAAAAAGAACUCUGAAUAGAGAUUUAAAUAGUACGUGAAACUGCUUAGAGGUUAAGCCCGAUGAACCUGAAUAUCCAUAAUGGAAAAUUCAUCAUUAGAGCUUUAAUAUUUUAAUAAUAUUAUAAUAAUAGUGUGCAUUUUUUCCAUAUAAGGACAUUGUAAUCUAUUAACAUAAACUAAAUUUAUCAUAAAAUAUGAGUUAUAGUUUAUUUAAAUUAUUUUGCUUGCAUUUUAACAUAGAAUAAAUGUCAUUAAUUUGAUAAAGUGUUGAUAGAUUUAUAUGAAUACAGUGAGUUAAUUUUUUGGAAUUAUAUAAUAGCAUGAUUAUCAUUGAUUUUUUGUGUUUAUUAUAUGCACUUGUAUAUGCACUUGAUUAACAAAGCGAAAGAUUCAGGAUACCUUCGGGACCCGUCUUGAAACGCGGACCAAGGAGUCUAACAUAUGUGCAAGUUAUUGGGAUAUAAAACUAACAGCAUAAUUAACUUGACCAAUAAUGGGAUUAGUUUUUUAACUUUUUAUAGAUAAUUAACACAAUCCCGGGGCGUUCUAUAUAGUUAUGUAUAAUGAUAUUUAUAUUAUUUAUACCUCUAACUGGAACGUACCUUGAGCAUAUAUGCUGUGACCCGAAAGAUGGUGAACUAUACUUGAUCACGUUGAAGUCAGGGGAAACCCUGAUGGAAGACCGAAACAGUUCUGACGUGCAAAUCGAUUGUCAGAAUUGAGUAUAGGGGCGAAAGACCAAUCGAACCAUCUAGUAGCUGGUUCCUUCGAAGUUUCCCUCAGAUAGCUGGUGCAUUU